rnacentral:misc_RNA from 1 species
AAGUCGUAACAAGGUCUCCGUUGGUGAACCAGCGGAGGGAUCAUUAUAGAGCGUAAAAACCUCUUAAACCCACUGUUAACUUACCUAUUGUUGCUUUGGCAGGCAGUCCCAGGGCGGGACGUUGGCCCUGUGAUCUUGCGGGUGGCCUGCCAAAAGCCCCAUAAACCCUGAAUUUCAGUUGGCUCUCUGAGGAACUAGAAAAAAAUUGUCAAAACUUUCAACAACGGAUCUCUUGGUUCUG